UUUGCAUAGGACUCAGAUGAGAAGAGGAGAGGAAACAUAACUGAGCCACCAAAGACCAAUGGGUAAAUGACCAAUUGAUUUUGGAAUAUCUAUGACAAUCUUCAUUCCCAACUAUGGAGAACCCUAUCAAGUCUGAAAGGCGAAAGAAGUAAGAUUGGAGAUAAAGGGGAAGGAGAAGAAAUGCGUCACCCCAGAGAGAAACCUGAAGGAAUUACACUGAGAAAAUUACAGAAAGGGAGAGCCAGUUGCUACUGAUAGCAGCUGAGAACCUGGACUAAUACAAGUACUGAGGCAGAGAGUGUGGCCAAUACACAGCAGAAAUAACACUGUAAAAUAAGAAGAAAAUAUGUUAAUAAACGUGGCCAAAUAGAGGUUCGUGACUAUAGAAGGCAUUUGUUGGCAGCCAGAAGUACCAGCAGGAAAGAAGGGAGUCUUGGGUGUGGAAAGAUUUCUCAGCAGUAGCUGGGAUGUCACUAAAGUCUUGACUUCAGGUUCAGCUGACCAUGAGCAGCCAAGUCACCUCUUCAGCCAUCCCUUCUUCUCCUGUCACUCUGCAGAAAUGAUGGAAACCCCACUGUCUUGUUAAUCCUGACCUGAGUCAAUUCUGCCUAGAACUUGCCUGAAUCUCAACCUGGGUAAGUUGGA